AAGGCAACUUUAAUAUGCUUUGAUAGGGACGCUUGUCAGAGUCUUUGUCUUGGCUCGAUUCUCCUUUCUUGAAGAAUGCCAAGUAACGGGAAUUAUAUCGCAGACCACCUUUGCAAAUUGGCUUCCAUAUCUCAAGAACUUGUUGCAGGUAAGAACCAGGCAAGGGCUCAAGUGGAGGAAUUGUGGCAACAACCCAUCCCUAAACCCUUUGACCUACAGAUUCUACUGCCUGUAGAGUGAGCUGGGACUGGAGCUUAGCAGAAUCAUCAUUAAAGAGAUUAAAGAGACUUCUUACAGCAUCUGGUGGGAGCAGAUGCACAGUCCCACAGCCAAACAUUAGGUAGAGUUCAAGGAGUCCUGUGAAGACAAGAAGAAGCAUCUGAGGAACCAGAUUGGUCAGGAACAUACCAUGAGAAUGUGGCUCAGAGAACUAACUGACCGAGACUUGUGGGAACGUGCAGAGGUCAGUGAUCCUAUGGAGCUCUAAUCUAGGUACUUUACAUACAUAUGUUAUGGCUGAGUGGCUUGGUGUUCUUGUGGAAAUCAGGGUCUGUCCCUAACUAACUCUUUUGCCUAUCUGUGGAACCCAUUUUCUCUUACUGGUUUGUCUUGCCUAGCUUUGAUAUGAUGGUAUGUGCCUGGUUUUAUUGUAUUAUAGCCUGCUUGAUAUUUAGUUGAUGUCCCUGGGAGGCCUGCUCUUCUCAGGGGCAAGAGAAGAGGAAGGGGAAAUUGGCUGAGAUGUAAUUCAUGAGAGAAUAACAAGAAAACAAAGUCUAGUUCAGUUAGAUUCAUAGACUAACACGUUGGUCACAUGUGUACUUCAUGCUGCUGUUUCUUUGUACGUGAAUCCAUUCAUUUGCCAUGAGGCAUGCGCAGUAGUCAGAAGCAGCUUUUGGGAACUGUUUUUUUUUUUUUUUUCUUCUGUUUUGUGAGUUCCAGAGAUAGAUCUCAGUUCAUCAAGCUUGACAGCAUGUAUCUUUGCACACUGAAACCUCUCAUUGAUCCCCUAAUAUACUUUCUGAUAGUCUGCAAAGGGCAUAUAUUUGCACUAUAAUCCUAUUUUAAAAGUAAACGUAAACUUAAGUGUUCAUUUGAAUGGGAAAGGAUGGAAAAUAGGUUGUCUGAGGAUAUCAAGUUAAUUGAAGAAUUUGACUAAAAUUAUCCUAGGAUUUUUCUUGAUCAGCACAAUGAAUUUUAGCACCUUAAACAUUAGUAGGUAACACUUAUACAUUAGUUACAUGGUCCACAGAUAAUUUUAGAAUUUUAAAUAAUUUUUAAUGUAUGGUAUUAUGUCUUAUUUAAAGAAAUUUUCUCUCA
rnacentral:lncRNA from 1 species